AAAAUCCGUGUCACAUUAAGGCUGAGACUUGAUGCAUACCCGUUGUGGGGAAUUCAGUGAUCCUAUGCUGCCGAGAAAAGCCUCUAGUGAGUUCAUACACGGCCCGUACCCCAAACCGACACAGGUGAUCAGGUAGAGAAUACCAAGGCGAUCGAGAGAACUGUGGUUAAGGAACUCGGCAAAAUGCCCCCGUAACUUCGGGAGAAGGGGGACCAUGCCCGGUGAACAUCUUCACGGUGGGAGCUGGGUGUGGUCGCAGAGACCAGAGAGAAGCGACUGUUUACUAAAACCACAGGUCCGUGCGAAGACGUAAGUCGAUGUAUACGGACUGACGCCUGCCCGGUGCUGGAAGGUUAAGAGGACCGGUUAGCCGUAAGGCGAAGCUGAGAAUUUAAGCCCCAGUAAACGGCGGUGGUAACUAUAACCAUCCUAAGGUAGCGAAAUUCCUUGUCGGGUAAGUUCCGACCUGCACGAAUGGCGUAACGACUUCUCUGCUGUCUCGACCACAGACUCGGCGAAAUUGCACUACGAGUAAAGAUGCUCGUUACGCGCGGCAGGACGAAAAGACCCCGGGACCUUUACUAUAGCUUGGUAUUGGCGUUCGAUUCGGUUUGUGUAGGAUAGGUGGGAGACUGUGAAGCAUGCACGCCAGUGUGUGUGGAGUCGUUGUUGAAAUACCACUCUGAUCGUAUUGGACGUCUAACCUCGGCCCAUGAUCUGGGUUAGGGACAGUGCCUGGUGGGUAGUUUAACUGGGGCGGUUGCCUCCUAAAGAGUAACGGAGGCGCCCAAAGGUUCCCUCAGCCUGGAUGGCAAUCAGGUGUUGAGUGCAAGUGCACAAGGGAGCUUGACUGUGAGACUGACACGUCGAGCAGGGACGAAAGUCGGGACUAGUGAUCCGGCACCGGCAAGUGGAAGCGGUGUCGCUCAACGGAUAAAAGGUACCCCGGGGAUAACAGGCUGAUCUUCCCCAAGAGUCCAUAUCGACGGGAUGGUUUGGCACCUCGAUGUCGGCUCGUCGCAUCCUGGGGCUGGAGUAGGUCCCAAGGGUUGGGCUGUUCGCCCAUUAAAGCGGCACGCGAGCUGGGUUUAGAACGUCGUGAGACAGUUCGGUCUCUAUCCGCCGCGCGCGUAAGAAACUUGAGGAAGGCUGUCCCUAGUACGAGAGGACCGGGACGGACGAACCUCUGGUGUGCCAGUUGUUCCACCAGGAGCAUGGCUGGUUAGCUACGUUCGGAAGGGAUAACCGCUGAAAGCAUCUAAGCGGGAAGCCUGUUCCAAGAUGAGGUUUCUCACCACCUUGCGUGGUUAAGGCCCCCUACAGACCAUGGGGUUGAUAGGCCGGAACUGGAAGCGCAGCAAUGCGUGGAGGUGACCGGUACUAAUAGGCCGAGGGCCCA
rnacentral:rRNA from 1 species